rnacentral:rRNA from 1 species
CACCAGGCGCGAAAACUUUACAAUGCUGGCAACAGCGAUAAGGGGACCUCGAGUGCCAGGAUACAAUCCUGGCUGUCGUAAUGCCUAAAAAGCAUUGCAUAGCAAGGGCCGGGCAAGACCGGUGCCAGCCGCCGCGGUAACACCGGCGGCUCGAGUGGUAACCGCUAUUAUUGGGUCUAAAGGGUCUGUAGCCGGCUGACUAAGUCUCUUGGGAAAUCUGGCAGCUCAACUGUCAGGCUUUCAGGAGAUACUGAUCGGCUCGAGACCGGGAGAGGUGAGAGGUACCUCAGGGGUAGGGGUGAAAUCUUGUAAUCCUUGAGGGACCACCAGUGGCGAAGGCGUCUCACCAGAACGGAUCUGACGGCAAGGGACGAAAGCUAGGGGCACGAACCGGAUUAGAUACCCGGGCAGUCCUAGCCGUAAACGAUACUCGCUAGGUGUCGGCCACGGUGCGACCGUGGUCGGUGCCGUAGGGAAGCCGUGAAGCGAGCCACCUGGGAAGUACGGCCGCAAGGCUGAAACUUAAAGGAAUUGGCGGG